rnacentral:rRNA from 1 species
AUUGAACGCUAGCGGGAUGCUUUACACAUGCAAGUCGAACGAGUGGCGGACGGGUGAGUAAUAUAUCGGAACGUGCCCAGUAGCGGGGGAUAACUACUCGAAAGAGUGGCUAAUACCGCAUACUAUUUGAGCGGCCGAUAUCGGAUUAGCUAGUUGGUGGGGUAAAGGCUCACCAAGGCAACGAUCCGUAGCUGGUUUGAGAGGACGACCAGCCGCACUGGGACUGGGACAUGGCACAGACUCCUACGAGAGGCAGCAGGAGGGAAUUUUGGACUAUGGGGGAAACCCUGAUCCAGCCAUCCCGCGUGUAUGAGAAGGCCUUCGGGUUGUAAAGUACUUUUGGCAGAGAAGCGGUAUCUGCAGAAUCAGCGCCGGCUAACUACAUGCCAGCAGCCGCGGUAAUAC